UAGGAAUAUAACCUUGGAAUUCAACUUUGCAUGAUAAUUAGACAAACAUAGAUCCAAGGUUAUUAGGGUUGCAUGUACACUUAGGAAGUGUUAGAAUGCUCAAAACCCAUCAGUGGUAUCAGAGCCUAGGCUUGUUUGUUUGUUAUUUGUGCUUAAAAGUUGAAGAAAGUCGAAAAUUCUGCUGUCUGACUGAUGGACUCGGCGAGUCCAUGGGGAGGACUCGUCGAGUUCAUGUGUAUCUUCAACCUACUCGGCGAGUAGGUUUAUGCACUCGGCGAGUAGGGUCGACAGAGUGCAGAAUUUCGACUUGAGUUGCUGGAAAUGGAUUAGAAUCAUUACCCUAAAAUGUUUUGGUACUUGAAAACUUAUUUUAGAAGGUGUAAUGUCUUUUCUAACUCAUUUACAACAACUAGUUAUCAAAAUUACAAAGAUUAAAUGUGAUUUUGAUUCUUGAAAGUGUUCAUAUUCAUAUUCUUGUUCUUAUGAUGUUUAGAUGAUCAUAGGAAUUAUUUGUAACCUAUGUGGUAGAUUAAUUCAUGAUCAUAAUGUGUUUUAAUGGAGUCCAUAACUUGUCCUCAAGUUAUGGAAAACCAAAAGUCUCUUGGAUUAAAAACCAUUAAAAGAACACAAGAGUUAGGAAAAAUGAAAAGUCCUCAUUUUAUUACUCUAUUAAACUCAUAAGUUACAAGAAAUGAAAAGUUUUGAAAGUUUACAAAACUUGCCCUCAAGUUUUGGAACAAGUAAAGUUAAGUUAAAACUUUAGUUCCAACCCCUAGAAUUUUAAAAGUUAAAAUUCAACCCUUAUACUUAUAUUAUUAUGAUUUAAUAAUUAUAUAUAUAUGUAUAAGAACAAAGUCGUCUUACCGCUAGUACGCCUCAUUCACGAAGCCGGUCUAUAAGGUGGGUAUAAGGUUGUUGCCUAUAAAAUGGUGACUUAAUGGGUGUCCACUCUCACCCACCGCUUGCUUGAUCGGUGGAGGGUCGUUAGCCGAACGGGUAAGACAAGGACUUAUUAAUUCUCAUUCAAAGUAUGAUGAAUAUUAUAAAGUAACUAAAUGUUUUAUUAAAUUCCCAAUCUUAGUUACUUUAGGAAAAAUGUGAAUAAGGUGCUAUUCCAUGAAAUUACACUUUACACUUUGAUUAAGUCGUUGGUGGAGCGUGUGUGGUUAACCGGCACACUAACUUGGACUUAACAAGGUAGGUAAAGGGUGACUUAGGGUUUAUUAUAGUAUCGAUGGAGCGUGUGUGGUUAACCGGCACAUCGAUUGAGUGAUAAACUUUAAGGGUACCAAGUGAUUUGCAUGGUUACUUCACACCUCGUUUUGUGAUCCUCGGUAUCCCAGUCACAAAACUUGGAGGGCACACUCGAGAUUGAAACAUGCCUUUGAAAAGUUCAUUGAAUCUCAAAGAAUCUAGGAAUUUCUAAGAACCAUUCAAAAACCUAAUACUAAAAUAUUGCGGUUUUCGUGGUGGAAAUUGGUGAAUCGUCAUUCACCUACCUUUCAAAUAUGAUAUAGCUUAGAUUACGGCAUACCUCUUCUAAGUUAUAUUAUAUUGUGAUUGGAUCCUAGCCUUAAUAUUACAUUUGGGUGUUUUAUUAAGGACUCUCUUAUAUCUAAACUAAUCUUGUCCUCUUUCCUUCAGAUGUCUUUCAACAAUGCUUCUGGCUCUAAUCCUAAUGGCUCCUUUACCCUUAUGAACUUGUGUGGGAAAGUCACCUUUGAUGGAUCCAACUUCAAUGAGUGGAUCAGAAACAUCAGGAUGAUUACCCGCUACGAGGACAAAGAAUAUGUCCUUGACAAGGAGCUUAAGGAGAUUGAUGAGUCCACUGCAACUCCUCAGGAGAUCGCUGAAUUUCGGGCACAUGAAAGGGAUGCUACGAAAGUGGCUUGCAUCAUGAUGGCCACGAUGACAGCGGAACUCCAAAAGUCUUAUGAGGAUUUCUACCCUUAUGACAUGCACCAAGAUUUGAUGGAAAGAUACCAUCAAAGUGCAAGACAAGAGAGGUAUGAAAUCAUCUGCUCCAUGAUAACAACCAUGAUGAAGGACGGGGAAUCCGUCACGAGCCACAUGCAGAAAAUGCAAAGGUAUGUGGAUCGUUUGCUGAAGCUUAAUGUGAACUUCCCGGAGGAUCUUGCAAUAGAUAUUAUUUUGCAUUCCUUACCAUCGUGCUAUGAUCAAUUCCGCAUGACAUAUCACAUGAACAAGGAAGAAGUCACCCUCAGCAAACUUCAGGGACUUCUCAAGACCGCAGAAACAGGUCUUAAGGGGAAGUCGGUUGCUAUCACUCCUACUCAAAACUCUACUCCGGUUUUGGCAAUCGGGAAAAGUCGAGGGAGGAAGAGAAAGAGCUCUUCUAAGGGUACCAAGGCUCGGACCCUUGAUGGCUCUUCUUCAAGUGGAACCAAGAAAGGUUUCGUUACUCCUUCUUCUGACCCAAAAGAGGCUGAAUGCUUCUAUUGCCAUGAAAAAGCUCAUUGGAAGCGGAACUGCCCAAAAUACCAGCAAGAUGUGAAGGAUGGGAAAGUUAAACCCAACCAUGCAGGUAUUUACACUAUCAUUUCUAAUAACUCACCCCAUUCUAAUUCUUGGGUCCUUGAUACCGGGUGUGGUAUUCACAUUUGUUGUGACUUGCAGGGACUAAGAAGAAGUGAGGAUGUGGAGCAAGGAAGGAUAAACUUGAUCAUGGGGAAUAGGAAAGCUAUACCUGUUACCAAGAUUGGAGUUUAUACUUUAUCGCUAAGUAGUGGGUUUAGUUUAGAUUUGAAUAAGUGUUGUUAUUCGCCAGGAAUGGCAAGAAAUAUUAUUUCCUUUCAUGCUUUGUACAAACAAGGGUUUACCUUUUCAUUUAAUAAUGAAGUUGGUUCUAUAGAUGUUUUCUAUAAUAAUGUCUUUUAUUUUAAAGCAUUACCUUGUGAUGGUGUGUAUGAAGCUGUAUCUGUUGUAGAUAACUUGGGAAAUAAUGUUUUGUGUAUUGAUUCUACUAAUAAUAACUUGGAUAAAGCAUCUUUAUGGCAUUGUCGUCUUGGACAUAUAAGCAAGAAACGCAUAGGCCAACUCCAAAAGGAUGGAGUCUUGGAGUCGUUUGACCUAAAGUCAGAUGAUAGUUGCGAAUCAUGCUUACUUGGAAAAAUGACAAAGUCACCCUUCACAGGUUCGUGUGAGAGGGGUGAAGGUUUGUUGGACCUUAUACACACGGAUGUGUGUGGACCAUUCAAACAUGCCACAAGGGAUGCUAAUCGUUAUUAUUUGACUUUUACUGAUGAUUAUAGUAGAUAUGGAUAUGUCUACUUGAUCAAGCAUAAGUCAGAGACUUUCGAGAGGUUUAAGGAAUUUAAACAGGAAGUCGAGAAUCAAUUGGGCAGGAACAUUAAGAUGCUUCGAUCCGAUCGUGGUGGUGAGUAUCUUAGUUCAGAGUUCCUCGACUAUCUAAGGGAAUGUGGGAUAGUCUCACAAUUGACACCUCCCAGGACACCACAGUUGAAUGGUGUGGCUGAGAGGCGUAAUCGAACCUUGUUAGAUAUGGUUCGUUCCAUGAUGAGUCGAGCUACGCUACCAAUCUCAUUCUGGGGGUAUGCCUUAGAGACUGCCGCCCAUAUUCUUAAUCUAGUCCCUACAAAGAAAGUUGCCAAAACUCCUCACGAGAUGUGGACUGGUAAAGUACCUAAACUAGACCACAUCAAGAUUUGGGGUUGCGAGGCUUUCGUGAGACGCGAGACUCAUGAUAAGCUCGAACCUCGAAGCGAGAGGUGUAUUUUCAUCGGUUACCCACAGCGAUCCUUUGGUUACCUCUUCUACAGACCUAGUGACAAUGUGGUCUUUGUAGCAAGAAGAGGAGUCUUUCGAGAAAGAGAGUUUAUAAGCCAAGGAGACAGUGGGAGGCAAAUUGAUCUUGAAGAAAUUCAAGAAUCAAGCGGUGAAGGAACUUCAAACUCUAGCCCUCAACUUGAGGAGGAAACUCCUGUUGAGCCAAUUGACAAAUCUGUACCUCUGAGACGUUCCACGAGAGUUAGGAGUGCACCUGAGCAUUACUAUGGAUUCCAUAUUACUGCAGAAGGUGAGACACUUAUUAGUGAUGAGACACUAGUAAGUCAAGAUGACCCUAACAGCUACGAGGAAGCCAUGGCAGGCCCCGAGUCUGCUAAAUGGAAAGAGGCUAUGGAUAGCGAGAUACAAUCCAUGUAUGACAAUCAAGUUUGGAACUUGGUUGAAAAUGUACCAGGUCGUAAGACAGUAGGGUGCAAAUGGGUCUUCAAGAAGAAGACCGACAUGGAUGGUAAAGUACACACUUAUAAGGCUAGACUGGUUGCAAAGGGCUUCUCUCAAAUUCCUGGAGUGGAUUAUGAUGAGACCUUUUCUCCGGUAGCCAAGAUUAAGUCUAUUCGGGUUCUGUUAGCCAUAGCUGCAUUUCAUGACUAUGAAAUAUGGCAGAUGGAUGUCAAAACCGCUUUCCUUAAUGGAAAGUUGGCUGAAGAUGUUUACAUGAGUCAGCCAGAGGGUUUUGUCAGCAACGAGUACCCUAAUAGAGUGUGUAAGCUUGAGAAAUCCAUUUAUGGAUUGAAGCAAGCACCUCGCAGAUGGAAUCUUUGCUUUGAUGAAAAGGUCAAGGAAUUUGGCUUUUCUAGGAGUGAAGAUGAAUCUUGUGUGUAUGUCAAGGCUAGUGGGAGUAUAGUUAGCUUUUUGGUAUUGUAUGUGGAUGACAUACUACUCAUAGGAAACGACAUUCCAACCCUGCAGGAAGUAAAGUCCUGGCUUGGGAAGUGUUUCGCUAUGAAGGACCUUGGUGAAGCUGCCUAUAUUCUAGGGAUAAGAAUCUUGAGAGAUCGGAGUAAAAGACUAAUUGGACUUAGUCAGAGUACCUACUUGGAUAAGGUGCUGAAGAGAUUCAGCAUGCAGGAUUCCAAGAAAGGAGAGUUACCCAUCCAGAGUAACACCAGAUUGAGUAAGACACAAAGCCCUAGCACUGAGGCUGAGAUAGCAGAAAUGAGUCGAACACCUUACGCUUCGGCUGUAGGAUCGAUCAUGUAUGCUAUGACGUGUACUCGACCCGAUGUAGCUUUUGCCUUGAGCAUGGUUAGCAGGUAUCAGGCGAACCCUGGCAAGGCACACUGGACUGCGGUAAAGAAUAUCCUCAAGUACCUACGGAGGACUAAGGACUGGGUCCUUACCCUCGGUGGGAGUGAUGACUUGAGAGUUGUAGGGUAUAGUGAUGCUAGCUUCCAGACUGAUAGGGAUAAUUUCCGCUCUCAGUCGGGCUGGGUCUUUACCCUAAACGGAGGAGCAAUUUCUUGGAAGAGUUCCAAGCAAGAGACAGUGGCAGAUUCUACUUGUGAAUCAGAGUAUAUUGCAGCUAGUGAAGCAGCAAAGGAGGCGAUAUGGCUGAAGAACUUCAUUGGAGACCUUGGAGUUGUACCAGCUAUUAAAGAGCCAAUGGAAAUUUUCUGUGAUAGUGAAAGUGCUGUUGCCUUAGCCAAGGAACCAAGGGAUCAUGGGAGAUCCAGACACAUCGACAGAAAAUACCAUUUCAUUAGACAUCGGAUCGAAGAAGGACUCCUCGUGGCAAAGAGGGUAUCAUCGGAUGAGAACCCAGCAGAUCCCCUCACGAAGGGACUGAGUAGGGUUAAGCAUCUCCAGCAUGCUCGGAGCAUAGGGCUGAAGGAUGAUAUAAGUUUUAGUAGUUAGAUAACCCAGAAAUUUGUAAAGUGUAAUUGACAUUUGAUGAUGAAUAAAAGGUGUUUUAUUUAUGAGUAAAGUGUUGCUAUCUCUUGUCGAUCGUUUACUAUAUUUCUUUUGCAUGUUUUGACUUCCAGAAUAAUUUUGUUUGGUAUAACAUAUUAUUCAAACCUCCACAGUCGGUCAUAUGUCGGAAGUAGGUAUGAAUCAAGACUGUCAUGAUGGGUUGUAGAGGUCUAAGGUGUUGGACAAGGCUACAACAAUCAUGAGUGCUCAUAAGUUCUGAGCAUUGGACUCAACCCACGCUCACUGGAAUCACUUCAUGGAAUUCUAUCUCGAGUGAUCGUGAGACGGUAAUAUCAUAUAAGUCUUCAAACCUAGAGAUAUGAUUUGUUACUUACAAGUUGGUUAUGCAUUGACUGUACGAAACCGCAUUGGUAACUCGAUGUUAUAAAACGUACUUUUGUGUGUAAUUCAAUGAGUGGUAGAACAAACAUAUGAGUCGAAGUUUAUCUGUUCCUUCUUGGAUUAGAAGCUGAUAUCUGGGCCCCUCGAUGAUUUUGUUUUGACCCAUGUACCGGGCCCGGUCAGAACUAAGUUGAUGUGUUCAAUUAAGUUCUAUGUCAAACAAAUCGGAAAUCGGGAAACAAAUGCUGGACAAUAAGCAAGACAAUGUUCCAUGUAUUUGUCCGGCUGAUAUCUAGAACGGAGGAUUAUAUGAUCACUUAUCUUAAAUGGCGUACCAUCAUCUUCUCAGUUCCGAGAGACCUUGAAAGAGCUACGAUUGCCGGUCGGUUCCUGAAGUACUAGAGAUAUAGUUAUUAGACUUAUCCAAGUGGGAGACUGUUGGAUAAGGUGUCUAAGUCCAUAACUAUUUCGGGUGUGUACUUGACCCGACCCGGCAUGGUCCAUUUGGGUUGCAUGGCACCAUGCAAUUGGAUAGACUAAAUGAGAGAAAUAACACUUGGAGAUUAUUAAUAUAUUAUAAGUUCUAAUAUAUUAAUAAUAUUAUUUGAUUAGUUUGAUCAAAGAAUUAAUUUGGAAUUAAUUAAGUGAUCAAAGGAUAACUAAUUAAAUAUAUGGGUUAAUUAUGUAAAUCAUUCAUAUCUUGUAUAGUGGGCUAAGAGGCUCCAUGGAUUAUCAAGUUGGGUUCUACCCAUAGGAUGCUCCAUGGAUGCUCCAUGGGAGUUACAAACCCAUGGGUCAUGGAAAUGAAGAGUCAUGACACAUUAGGGUUUACAUGGUGUAACCCUAGAUGUGUCAACACUAUAUAAGGAUCCCAUUCUCCACCAAAAUCGGCUAGACAUAAGAAACUAGAGGGCUUGGCCGAUUUUAAGAAGUGUGUAUUAUCUCAAAGGUCUUUCCAAGAGCAUUUGGUGUUGUGUGAAGCAUUUGAGGCAUCACACUUGGGGUGCUAGGCUCACAAGGUUCAAGGAACAUAGGCAACAACAAGGUAAGUUAUUCUAUCUUUCAUUCAAGUUAAAAUUAUUCCCCAUGUAUGCUAGAUAGGAAUAUAACCUUGGAAAUUCAACUUUGCAUGAUAAUUAGACAAACAUAGAUCCAAGGAUAUUAGGGUUGCAUGUACACUUAGGAAGUGUUAGAAUGCUCAAAACCCAUCAGGUUACACCCUAAAUGAUGAGUUCAAGGUGCUCUAAGUCCAGUUUGGUAAGCCCCUAAGUCAUAUCUAGGCUCCAAAUGUGGUUUGGAAGGGUUUUAAGGCUCAAAACCCCAUUUGCAUGUGUUCACGGCCUAAGGUUGUUCUAGGGCCAUAAACACAUGUUUGUGGUCCUAUUCCAUGAUUUGAAAACGAAAUUGAAGGCUAAAUAUGUUAUACUAUGAGCUAGGAUUGUUACCUUGAUGAUUUGGAGCUUUA
rnacentral:lncRNA from 1 species